UAGCGGAUUGGUUGCUGCAAGCCAAGGGCGGUAGCGUA
rfam:Lonsdalea quercina strain ATCC 29281 genome assembly, contig: Ga0052894_scaffold00001.1